GGUACAGUAAAUUCAUAUUAAAAACAAUUGCCCUCUUCUCAUGCCCUUUCCUCUCCCUUCUGUUGCCCUCUUCUCACGCAGUCAUGCCCUCUCCUCUCUCACUUCCCUCGACGCAGUCGACGUCGAGUCCACACGACGACAUCCUCCACUCCGACGAAGUACUCAAUCUGAGCAGGUAUGUAAUCUUGGUCGCUGCUUGCUUGGAAACCCGUUUCUAUUUUUGUAUUUUAGGGCAUCUUCUUCUUGCUUUUACAUUUUCUUGAUUUUGCUGGGUUUUAUUGGUAAUAAUCUAAUUUAAAUAAAAACAUGGCUGCUAGAUCAUGGAAUGGUUCUGUGAAUUUAAAUAAAAACAUGUAUUUUAGAGCAUCUUCUUCCUCGCUGCAGAAUUCUUGAGGUUCUUCAAUUGGGUAUUUAUUUAGUUCUGUGUAUAAUUCUUGAAAAUAACCCAGUUGAUAUUUCACUGCUGAGAGUUUACCCAUGUAAUUGAAGAUAAUACCUCUAGAUUUACGGUAUUUCCCAAUUUUCUAAUGUCUCUUCAUGUAAAUAUUGGGGUAGCAGGGUAGGGCCAAUGUCCACGUUAUUCUAUAUUGAAUUAUUCAUACAUGGGUAUGAGAUAGUAGCUAAUGUUGGCUGUCUCUUUAGGAUUAAUGUUGGGACAUAGUCUGCAACCAUGCAUUGACUAUUAGAACAAUGAAUGGGCUGUGUAAUCUCAUUGAAAAAGCUGUUAAAACUUUGUUUCCAGCUUCAUUCAUAUCAAAUUCGAGUUUGUUGAUGCAACAAAGGAAAAACACAAUAUGGACAAAAGAAGAAAACGAGCAAUUUGAGAGUGCACUUGCAGUGUUUGAUGAAAGUACUCCCAAUAUAUGGGUUAUGCUGGCUGCCAUGAUCCCUGGAAAAUCAGUUUGUGAUGUGAUAAACCGGUACAAAGAACUAGUGGCAGAUCGGUAAUAUAGAAGCUGGUUUGGUCCCAAUUCCUGGAUGCUUGAACUCUUCUUUUACAAUGAAAAUACCCGAUAGAGAGAUUGAAGGGUAAGUGGAACCGUUUGCGCAAGGUGCAUCGCUUGUUCUCUGAUCUUUUAGGGCAUACGGGUGUUACAUGGGAUCCAAAUACUAACCAAGUGAAUGCUACAGAAGAAGUUUGGCAACAUUUUUUUACGUUAUGUGCUGUAAAAGAAAAUUUUUAGCAUUACUUAUUUAUGGUAUCAUUUUUUGUUUAACAUUUUGCUUCACUAUUAAUGUAGGUUUUUUUUUUUCCUCUCUCAUUUUUUUUUUUUUUUUUUUUUUAUAUUGGAGAUAAACAAGAGCGACUACAAGACAUUUAGGAGGGAAGGAUGUAAACAUUACGAAUUGCUUGGAGAGAUUUUUAGCGGGACUACAGCUACUGGAGGUCUAGGCCAUGCUUCUACUCAGCUUCCUCCAACGUCAGAGGAAGAAAGACAGCUAGAAGAUUAGUUUUUGAGAGGGGGAAUACAUGUACGCGUGGAUAAUGAUGAUGAUGAAGUUUCAAAUAUUCGUCGACGUGAUGAUACUGUACCUAACAAACGUCGACGUAAGGAACUCAAAAUCAGUAAAGGUGAAAAACUUGAGGAAUGUAUGGCACAAUGGUCAUCUACUGUUAGUAUGAGGAAUGAGGAAACAGAAUCAGGAUGCUAUACCUUAAAGAAAAGCUUGCACGCAUCCAAGAAAAAUCAUCCAAUCACGAGGGAACUAGUGAAGUCACUAGUCCAGAUCCUUAUUCAAAUAUGGCGUGUUUGAACAUCCUAAAUAACAUGGAAGGAGUGUCUAACGAGGCUUAUAUGAAAGCAGUAAAGGCUUUUAAGGAUCCAAACUUCAGGAUGACGUUUGUCAUGAUACCAGAAAUUAGAAGAGGACCUAUCUUAGAACUUCUUUGAUACGCUUACUUGGUCGGAUUGAGUAUUUUGAACUUAUAAUGUAGGAUUGUGUUGUUUUUAUAUGUUGGCUAUGAACUUAUAAUGUAGUAUUUUGAAUUGGUAAUGUAGGAUUGUGUUGUUUUUAUAUGUUGACUAUGGACUUAUAAUGUAGUAUUUUGCCUAAUCAAUAUAGAUUUUAGUACUUAUAUUUAUUGGAGUAUUUUUAUAAAUGAUUAUGGUAAGUACAUGAAUGAUAUGAGUGACAAUGAUUUAUUAUGUAUGAAUGAUUUCGAUGCGGUUGUUGGAGAUAUACAAUGAUUUCCUUUUUUUACCAACUUUAAAAUUAUAUUUUUU
rnacentral:lncRNA from 1 species